rnacentral:rRNA from 1 species
CCUACGGGAGGCUGCAGUGGGGGAUAUUGCACAAUGGGGGCGAGCCUGAACCAGCCAAGUAGCGUGAAGGAUGACUGCCCUACGGGUUGUAAACUUCUUUUAUAAAGGAAUAAAGUGAGGCACGUGUGCCUUUUUGUAUGUACUUUAUGACUAAGGAUCGGCUAACUCCGUGCCAGCAGCCGCGGUAAUACGGAGGAUCCGAGCGUUAUCCGGAUUUAUUGGGUUUAAAGGGAGCGUAGAUGGGUUGUUAAGUCAGUUGUGAAAGUUUGCGGCUCAACCGUAAAAUUGCAAUUGAUACUGGCAGCCUUGAGUACAGUUGAGGUAGGCGGAAUUCGUGGUGUAGCGGUGAAAUGCUUAGAUAUCACGAAGAACUCCGAUUGCGAAGGCAGCUUACUAAACUGCCACUGACAUUGAUGCUCGAAAGUGUGGGUAUCAAACAGGAUUAGAUACCCGAGUAGUC